rfam:Bombyx mori DNA, contig: Bm_scaf29_contig18443, strain: p50T/Dazao, build 2, whole genome shotgun sequence.
UUAACUCAAAUUUAUAUGGAACUGGAACAUGGCCUAGGCUUAUCAGUAGGGGCGCUGUUCCAACUGCAUACAAAUUUGAGUUA